rnacentral:misc_RNA from 1 species
GACCCCCUUGCCUGAACCUGCCUUAGCAAAAUCAAGUUCUUUAAACAUAUUCACAAUGCCAGAUCCUGUCAUCACCCUCUCCUUGGAAAACUUCUUUGCUUUAAGCAGCACAAGCAGAUGAGACCUUAGAACAAGUCCACACAGCUCUGGAGCUUCUGUGUGAGGUGGCUCAUCAAUCACCGGGAAUCCAUUGUGGCCUGUUAUU